GUCAAGGUAGCUCAGCUGGCUAGAGCGCUGGUCUCAUAAGCCGGAGGUCGAGAGUUCAAGUCUCUCUCUUGACACCA
rnacentral:tRNA from 24 species